CAGACAACUGGAAUGAACUGAAAAGUUAAAAGAAUGCUGAAUUAAGGUGGAAAACAAAAUCAGAAGGUAACAAAGUUCAAGAUCCCAUCCUUAAGAAAGUGCAGACCUGGAACUCAACAUCCAUCUGCCACCCAGAGCAAUACAUGAUGUUUACACUACAGAUUAAUCUUUUCACUGAAGCUUUUCCUUUCGUGAAACUGGAGUCCUAUGAGCCGAGCUGGACAUGGUGAUCCUCUAGCCCUACACCUGUGAUUUCCAAGUGGCGAUCUGAAUAUAUGGAGCUAAACUUUUGCCCAAGAUGACACAGCUGGAAAAUGCUUUGAACACAACC
rnacentral:lncRNA from 1 species